CAGUCGCCGCGGUAAUACGAAGGGUGCAAGCGUUAAUCGGAAUUACUGGGCGUAAAGCGUGCGUAGGCGGUGAGUUAAGUCUGCUGUGAAAUCCCCGGGCUCAACCUGGGAAUGGCAGUGGAUACUGGCUCGCUAGAGUGUGUCAGAGGAUGGUGGAAUUCCCGGUGUAGCGGUGAGAUGCGUAGAGAUCGGGAGGAACAUCAGUGGCGAAGGCGGCCAUCUGGGACAACACUGACGCUGAGGCACGAAAGCGUGGGGAGCAAACAGGAUUAGAUACCCCCGUAGUCCCUGUCUCUUAUAA
rnacentral:rRNA from 1 species